GUACAAUAGAGCUUAUAGGCUAAUGAGAAGACAGGAAGAAACAACAGGAACACAUAUAGCUGGAAUGCAGAUGGGAUCUGUGCUACUUACGCUAGCCAUGGGAUGAUUAGAACAAGAUAAGAGACAUGAGGAAGACUUCUUCAAGGAGGUGCUCAAGCCAUGUUUUGGAAAAGAGAACUCAAGGUCUGGCAGGGAGAAAGGAGCAAGGGCAAGUAGAGCUGCAGCUGUCUGGCGCCACUGUAAUGCUGUCUCCUCCUCUGAGUGAGUUCAUCCUGGAAACAUUUUCUCCCAUAAGACAUGCACAGGUCUUACGUUUACAUGUUUCACUGAAAGAAAUUUGAUUCCACUGCUGGGAUGACAAGGUCCUCUUCUCCCUGAAGGCUGUCACAGUUCCUGUGCAGAGAGAGAGGGCACUGCAGCACCCAGGCGCUGACUGCCUUUUGUCAGUCUCAUUUGCAGGCCCCCAGCUGGAGAACCCAGGAGGAAGAGGAAAAAAGUUUUUUCCUCCUCUACACUCCCCAUGCAUGACUAAAGAGUAGGAGGAGUCAGCAAGGCAGACAUAUAUAGUACCCAGGAGGUGGACAAACAACUGCCUUGGUGGAAACUCUGUCCUUUCUGGACUUAUCCUGGUGCCACUGAGACUGUGCAGGUCCCACACUUACAGGGAAAGCAUCACCCGAAAGUGAGAAUGCCUAGAGGCAGGAAUCAUGGAGGCUUCCUUAACCGUCUGUCUGCAACAGCAGGUGCUAGAGAUGACACUGCAGAGUAGAGAACAAAGGAAUCUUAGUAAUUGUUCAAUCCAAUCUCCACACUUUAAAGAUGAAGAAACUGGUAUUGAGAAAAAUACACAGCUUAUCCAAGGUUGCACUGCUGGUUGGUAGCUGAGAUGAAUUUAGAACCCACAUCUGAUGACUACACCAUAUUGCUCCCAGUUUUCCUGUCUGUUCCACAUGUAAAAGUCUGACUCUUCACUUCUCCUUUGAGUAUAUAGACUUUUAACAUUUUUGUAUGUCAAGAUGGACUUUUCCUCAUACCCAGCCCCUGCCUUUUCUCCUCCCUUCAUACCUUGCAGGAUCUUUAACAGAAUUUAAAAGGAGUUUUUUGUUUUGUUUUGAUGUAUCUAAUAAAAGUCAAGGGAGGGAGAGGGCCAGUAUAAGCAAGAGUACAGUUUCCUAGUUUGUAGAUGCGGUAGUCUGAGGAAUCAGAAACACACAAAGGUUUGGAGAACUGGUACAUGCUCCCAGGUGGGAAGCCAGGACUCUUGGUAGGAUCUUGAGGACAAGGCAAAGGACAAUAAGAGAGCGAGGGGAUCCUAGAGGUGGAAUCAAGGAAGAGAAACUAGAGAGAGAAAAAGGAACUGGCUAUCCAUCCAUGAUGGAUCCUGUGUGGACUGAUGGGUGGCUUGGCAUCAUCCUUUAGUAGACUUCAUGUGGUUGAAUAAUUGGCCAAUGGAAGGAAUUUCUUUUUUGGUAACAGACUCUGUGUGUACAGUUAUGGGUCUUAAUUUAUAAUAAAAGGUUACAUUGAAAAUUGA
ensembl:lncRNA LINC02532 long intergenic non-protein coding RNA 2532